rnacentral:rRNA from 1 species
CCUACGGGUGGCAGCAGUGAGGAAUAUUGGUCAAUGGGCGGGAGCCUGAACCAGCCAAGCCGCGUGAGGGAAGAAGGUACAGCGUAUCGUAAACCUCUUUUGUCAGGGAACAAAGGCGGGGACUAGUCCCCGGCUGAGGGUACCUGAAGAAAAAGCAUCGGCUAACUCCGUGCCAGCAGCCGCGGUAAUACGGAGGAUGCGAGCGUUAUCCGGAUUUAUUGGGUUUAAAGGGGGCGUAGGCGGAAGGUUAAGUCAGCGGUCAAAUGUCGGUGCUCAACACCGGCCUGCCGUUGAAACUGGUCUUCUUGAGUGAGCGAGAAGUAUGCGGAAUGCGUGGUGUAGCGGUGAAAUGCAUAGAUAUCACGCAGAACUCCGAUUGCGAAGGCAGCAUACCGGCGCUCAACUGACGCUGAUGCACGAAAGCGUGGGGAUCGAACAGGAUUAGAUACCCUUGUAGUC